GCUCUGCAAGUUUUCUGAUCUGUGAAAUGGACAUUAUAACAUCUGCUUUCUGAGGUUGUUGUAGGAGUUAUGUAAGAUAAUACAAAUGAAAGGCUUAGUGCUCGUGUGGGAUACAUCAGAAGCUUCAAUGGUCAUGUUGGUAUUUAAGAAGACAGAGACAAGUGCAGCAUAGGUGAACAGAUGCUAACCAGGAUUACAAGAGACAGUUUUGGGGAAACCAUCAUAUCCAUUUGAUCCUAUUUUCUCUAUCCCCUUCUGUAUUUGUCUCCACAGAACAUGUUGGUAAUGGUAAGUUUCAAUAAAAUAUUUUCUAGAGACAAACAUAUUUAGUCUUUUGUGGAGAGGCCUUACGCCCUAAUAAUACAUAUGAGUCAGAUCAGGUCUAGAAGUUCUGUUGUCUUCUUCAGAUUUUCAUGGUUUUUUUUUUUUUUCCCUUGUUUGCAAAUAAAAUGGAAAAAAAUUGCUCAUUUAUUUUCAGGAAAUAAAAACAUGUAAUACCAAAGAAAAUUAGAAGGUGAACCUCCAGAAUAACAUGAUUCUUCAGAAAAUACAAUCCAAUUAUAGGAGACAGGUAAUAUCCAGUUCUUUUUUUGGUUGACCUAUAAUAAAUGCAGAUUGCAUAGGUAUUUAACACAGAAUGGUAUUUCAAACCCAAAUGGUGACUAUUAUUUCCAUUAUCAGGGAAAAAAGUAAUGUUAAAGUAGAAAUUAGUAUUUUGAACUUCUAAAUGGGAAAAAUUUUUUUUGAACAAAACUACCUCAAAAACUAUAACUCUCUUCCAUCUCAAGUUAGAGGAUUGUUCUUGCAGCAUAGAUAUUUGUGGAUUGAUGUAUUGGGGAAGUUAAUGAUGCUGAAGCUCAAACUCCAAUACUUUGGCCACCUGAUGUGAAGAACUGACUCAUUGGAAAAGACCCUGAUGCUGGGAGAGAUUGAAGGCAGGAGGAGAAGGGGAUGACAGAGGAUGAGAUGGUUGGAUGACAUCACUGGCAUGAUGGACAUGAGUUUGAGUAGGCUCCUGGAGUUGGUGAUGGACAGGGAAACCUGGCGUACUGAAGUCCAUGCGGUUGCAGAGUCAGACAUGACUGAGUGACUGAACCGAAUGACUUGUUAGCCUCUUCGGUGUUGUUUGGGAGAAUAAUCAAGUAUUCUGAAAUUGUUUCUGAGCUGCCCACACUGCAGGAUGCUCUGUGGAGUUGCCCACAGCAAGAAGCAAUUUGGCUGACCUCUUCUUUGCUGUACACCUGAUUUUCUGCUCCAAACAUAGCACCACAUUUCUGAUGCCCUGGGCAAUGAGUGCAUAUCUCUUCAAGAUGCGCCCCACCGCCUAAAUGAACCUUACAUACCCUGCAUGGCUUCUCUUUUAACCAGGCCAUUCCGAAUGCAUUCUCCAGUGUGAAGAAAGGUCUGUCCAGCUCUUGAAUGUGAUGUAAUAAAAGAACAGAAAUUUAUACUGGUAGGCA
rnacentral:lncRNA from 1 species